rnacentral:misc_RNA from 1 species
GAAAUGCGAUAAGUAGUGUGAAUUGCAGAAUUCAGUGAAUCAUCGAAUCUUUGAACGCACAUUGCGCCCCUCGGUAUUCCGUGGGGCAUGCCUGUUCGAGCGUCAUCUACACCCUCAAGCUCUGCUUGGUGUUGGGCGUCUGUCCCGCCUCCUUCGCGCGCGGACUCGCCCAAAAUCCAUUGGCGGCGGCCCUUGCCUCCCUCUCGCGCAGCACAUUGCGCUUCUCGAGGCGCGGCGGACCGCGUCCAGCAAGCAACCGUCACACCGUCUUUGACCUCGGAUCAGGUAGGGAUACCCGCUGAACUUAAGC